rnacentral:rRNA from 1 species
CCCCAAAUUCCUACGGGAGGCUGCAGUAGGGAAUCUUCCACAAUGGGCGAAAGCCUGAUGGAGCAACGCCGCGUGUGUGAUGAAGGCUUUCGGGUCGUAAAGCACUGUUGUAUGGGAAGAAAAGUUAAGGUAGGGAAUGACCUUAGCCUGACGGUACCAUACCAGAAAGGGACGGCUAAAUACGUGCCAGCAGCCGCGGUAAUACGUAUGUCCCGAGCGUUAUCCGGAUUUAUUGGGCGUAAAGCGAGCGCAGACGGUUGGUUAAGUCUGAUGUGAAAGCCCGGAGCUCAACUCCGGAAAGGCAUUGGAAACUGGUUAACUUGAGUGCAGUAGAGGUAAGUGGAACUCCAUGUGUAGCGGUGGAAUGCGUAGAUAUAUGGAAGAACACCAGCGGCGAAGGCGGCUUACUGGACUGUAACUGACGUUGAGGCUCGAAAGUGUGGGUAGCAAACAGGAUUAGAUACCCUGGUAGUCCACACCGUAAACGAUGAACACUAGGUGUUAGGAGGUUUCCGCCUCUUAGUGCCGAAGCUAACGCAUUAAGUGUUCCGCCUGGGGAGUACGACCGCAAGGUUGAAACUCAAAGGAAUUGACGGGGACCCGCACAAGCGGUGGAGCAUGUGGUUUAAUUCGAAGCAACGCGAAGAACCUUACCAGGUCUUGACAUCCUUUGAAGCUUUUAGAAAUAGAAGUGUUCUCUUCGGAGACAAAGUGACAGGUGGUGCAUGGUCGUCGUCAGCUCGUGUCGUGAGAUGUUGGGUUAAGUCCCGCAACGAGCGCAACCCUUAUUGUUAGUUGCCAGCAUUCAGAUGGGCACUCUAGCGAGACUGCCGGUGACAAACCGGAGGAAGGCGGGGACGACGUCAGAUCAUCAUGCCCCUUAUGACCUGGGCUACACACGUGCUACAAUGGCGUAUACAACGAGUUGCCAACCUGCGAAGGUGAGCUAAUCUCUUAAAGUACGUCUCAGUUCGGACUGCAGUCUGCAACUCGACUGCACGAAGUCGGAAUCGCUAGUAAUCGCGGAUCAGCACGCCGCGGUGAAUACGUUCCCGGGUCUUGUACACACCGCCCGUCACACCAUGGAAGUUUGUAAUGCCCAAAGCCGGUGGCCUAACCGUAAGGAGGGAACCGUCUAA